rnacentral:lncRNA from 1 species
CUAAAACGAGUUCCACAAACUCAGCUGAGGAAACUUCGACUACUCUCACAACCUCAGGUGUGGAAACUCCUACCAUUCCUGGAAUGUUGGGUAGGGAAACUCUGACCAUUCCUACUAUUAUGUGUGAGGAAACAACCAUUCCUGCAACCUUAGGUCAAGAAACUCCUACCCUUCCUGCAACCUUGGGUGAAGGAACUCAUAGUAUUCCCUCAACCUCGAGUGAAGAAAAUCAUAUCAUUCCCACUAACCUGGAUGAAGAAACUCCUACUGAUCCAGUGACCUUGGCAGAGGAAAGGCCAAGUAUUCCUGAAACCUUGGGUGAAGAAACCCCAACCGUUCCUCUGACAUUCAGUGAAGAAACUCCGGUUAUUCCUCCAUCAUUCAGCGAAGGAGCUACUAUUCCUCCUUCCUUCAAUGAGGGAAGUCCUACUGUUCCUGUAACAUUGGGUCCAGAAACUCAGACCAUUCCUACAACCACGGGUGAGGAAACUGCAAACAUUCCUGCAAC